UACAGAGGUCUCAAGCGUUGUUCGGAUUCAUUGGGCGUAAAGGGUGCGUAGGCGGCGCGGUAAGUCGGGUGUGAAAUCUCGGAGCUUAACUCCGAAACUGCAUUCGAUACUGCCGUGCUUGAGGACUGGAGAGGAGACUGGAAUUUACGGUGUAGCGGUGAAAUGCGUAGAUAUCGUAAGGAAGACCAGUGGCGAAGGCGGGUCUCUGGACAGUUCCUGGACGCUGAGGCAACGAAGGCCAGGGGGAGCAAAACGGGG
rnacentral:rRNA from 1 species